UUAAAUCGACAAACCCUUGAGUAUUCUCCCAAUGAUUUUGUGGAUUCUUACUGACCCUUCUCUUUUAAGUUCUGACCCAAAAUUUUUUCUGUUUAAUAAAGAAAUUCUAUUAUUAAUCUUCUAAAGAUGCACUGCAACUGUAAAGGGGUAUUUAUGACAUUAUUCAAAGAUACAGAACUUUCUAAUUAUUUUAUUAAUAUUAGGAGUGUCAACACCAUCUACCCAACACCGGCUUCCAAUCCAAACGGCGUGUCGUUUUACACACUACGGCGGCGAAGAGAAAUUACGGGAAAGAAGAUCUAGCAGCAGCAGCAAGGGCAGCACUUAUCAAGCAAUUUCAAUCCCCAAUUGUCCGAAUCAAUUAAAGCUUCAACAGUGAAAUUGUAUCAUUAAUGGCGGAAGAACAAGAGAGAAAGAAGAGGGUUGUGGUUGAAUCGCUGGGAUGGCUUACGGAAUCAUCGCUCAUGCCAAAGAAACAACGCUCAAUCGAAGUAGUGGGUCCAUCUUUUAUCUUAGAACUCAGGGCCCAGCUCUAUAAAUCCCAGGAAGAAUCCAAAAGAUCCGAAGAAUUGAACAGUCGGGAUGUCGAGUUUCACCGCGCCAAGAAGAAGAUUACCUCACGUGAUGCCUUCUCCUCCAAGAACUCCGGCGUCGAAGCCCACGCUCUCAAGUACCUUCCUUUUCCCUUUCUGGAUUUUCGUUGAAUUGUUUAGAUUAGCUCAAUUUCAGGCUUCUAAAUUUUACCUCUCAAGUCUCUUGGUGUUUAGGAAGGUUAGGCCACCAACUAGGAAGCUUAAAACUACAUACAAGGCAACGAGGCCCAACUUGUUUUUGUAACUCAAAUCAUUUGAUAAUCGAGGAGUCCAGGACUAAUAAGACGAAUUUUUGGUAUUUUGUCAUUAAAGUAGAUUUUUGAUGACUUUGCUAUCUUCUCGAAUCAGCCUUAACGUUAUGGGUUGGAUGAAUUUUGUUAAGAGUGACAGUGCCUUGGAUUGACCCAAUUGCAUCAACCAUUCAGAAUCAAGUAGUUGGUUCGACUGUUUGACGAUGGUACUUGGAAGAAAGGGGGGAAUUCUGUGUUUCAGCUCUUAGGCACUCGUUUGGUUGCACUAUUGAGCUCUAAUAUGAUCCACCCCCCUCAUCCUGUUACUUCUUUUUAUCCAAUAAAUUUUUGAGUUUUAGGUACAACAGUAUUAAAGGCCUUGGUAUUCUGGUGUUCAACCAGUUCCCAAAGUGCUAGUUCUUUUAAGUUGUAAAGGUUCUUUCUAACAACGGACUGGCUGCAAGAAUCGUCCAGUAAACUGGCACCUGAGAGUGGAUUCGAAUCGAGUUUUAAUAAAGAUCAAUUUGAGCUUAGUUCGAAUUUAUAAAGUUUUUGCACUAGUGAUGAA